GACGAACGCUGGCGGCGUGCUUAACACAUGCAAGUCGAACGGAAAGGCCCUGCUUUUGUGGGGUUCUCGAUUGGCGAACGGGUGAGUAACACGUGAGUAACCUGUCCUUGACUUUGGGAUAACUUCAGGGAACUGGGGCUAAUACCGGAUAGGAUCUCCUGCUUCAUGUUGGGGGUUGGUAAGUUUCGGCGGUUGGGGCUGUACUCGCUGCUUAUCAGCUUUUUUGUUGGGUAGUUGCUUACCCAGGCUUUGACGGGUAGCCGGCCUGAGAGGGUGGACGGCCACCUGGGGCCUGAGAUAGGGCCCAGACUCCUACGGGAGGCAGCAGUGGGGAAUAUUGCACAAUGGGCGGAAGCCUGAUGCAGCAACGCCGCGUGCGGGAUGACGGCUUUCGGGUUGUAAACAGAUUUCGCAUGUGACGAAGCGUGAGUGACGGUAAUGGGUAAAGAAGCACCGGCUAACUACGUG
rnacentral:rRNA from 1 species